UCUUGGUCACUUAGAGGAAGUAAAAGUCGCAGCAAGGUCUCCGUCGGUGAUCCAGCGGAGGGAUCAUUAGCGAGUUUACAACUCCCAAACCCCUGUGAACCUCCCACUUGUUGCCUCGGCGGAUCAGCUUUUUUUGCGGUAAAACGGGACGGCCCGCCAGAGGACCCUUUAAUCUCUGUUUGUAUAUGUAACUUCUGAGUAAAACCAUAAAUAAAUCAAAACUUUCAACAACGGAUCUCUUGGUUCUGGCAUCGAUGAAGAUGGCAGCAAAAUGCGAUAAGUAAUGUGAAUUGCAGAAUUCAGUGAAUCAUUGACUCUUUGAACGCACAUUGCGCCCGCCAGUAUUCUGGCGGGCAUGCCUGUUCGAGCGUCAUUUCAACCCUCAAGCACAGCUUGGUGUUGGGACUCGCGUUAGUUGCGCGUUCCUCAAAUUGAUUGGCGGUCACGUCGAGCUAUCCAUAGCGUAGUAGUAAAACCCUCGUUACUGUUAAUCGUCGCGGCCACGCCGUUAAACCCCAACUUCUGAAUGUUGACGUCGGAUCACGUAGGAAUACCCGCUGAACUUAAGCAUAUCAAUAAGCGGAGGUA
rnacentral:rRNA from 1 species